AAACAUGAUCUAUACCAUUUGAAGUAUUUAGAAAUCAAAUUUCAUACAUUUUCGAUGUUGUUCUCUUAUCCAUUGAGUGGGCACAAAAAUGAACGGCUGAAAAUGAAUAUUCUUAAAAAAAUGAUGAUAGAAAUUUUGUAAUCAAGAUCUAGAGUAUAGAUCUUGUUUUAAAUAGUUUAAAGAAUUUUCUAACGAAAAUUUAAUUGAUUUGGAUAUCUUUACGCCGUUAAACGAGAAAACGCCUCAUAUCGAUAAUUAAAAUUACAAAUUUUGAAAUCCUUUGAUCAUUAGGCAAAUGAUGUCGAAAAGAUUUGAAAUUUAAUUUCUAAACAAUUCAAGUGGUAUAGAUCAUGUUCAACGGUGCCGAUCGUCGAUUUGGAGGCUCCAUCAUCGAAAACAAAUGGGUGGCAAAAGUGCCGAUUUGCUAUCGAUAGUAUUUUAGCUCAACUCUCUCUCUCUCUCUCUCUCUCUCUCUCUCUCUCUC
rnacentral:lncRNA from 1 species